rnacentral:rRNA from 1 species
GACGAACGCUGGCGGCGUGCCUAAUACAUGCAAGUUGAGCGCUGAAGGUUGGUACUUGUACCGACUGGAUGAGCAGCGCACGGGUGAGUAACGCGUGGGGAAUCUGCCUUUGAGCGGGGGACAACAUUUGGAAACGAAUGCUAAUACCGCAUAAAAACUUUAAACACAAGUUUUAAGUUUGAAAGAUGCAAUUGCAUCACUCAAAGAUGAUCCCGCGUUGUAUUAGCUAGUUGGUGAGGUAAGGGCUCACCAAGGCGAUGAUACAUAGCCGACCUGAGAGGGUGAUCGGCCACAUUGGGACUGAGACACGGCCCAAACUCCUACGGGAGGCAGCAGUAGGGAAUCUUCGGCAAUGGACGAAAGUCUGACCGAGCAACGCCGCGUGAGUGAAGAAGGUUUUCGGAUCGUAAAACUCUGUUGGUAGAGAAGAACGUUGGUGAGAGUGGAAAGCUCAUCAAGUGACGGUAACUACCCAGAAAGGGACGGCUAACUACGUG